UGGGGAAUAUUGCACAAUGGGCGCGAGCCUGAUGCAGCCAUGCCGCGUGUAUGAAGAAGGCCUUCGGGUUGUAAAGUACUUUCAGCGGGGAGGAAGGGAGUAAAGUUAAUACCUUUGCUCAUUGACGUUACCCGCAGAAGAAGCACCGGCUAACUCCGUGCCAGCAGCCGCGGUAAUACGGAGGGUGCAAGCGUUAAUCGGAAUUACUGGGCGUAAAGCGCACGCAGGCGGUUUGUUAAGUCAGAUGUGAAAUCCCCGGGCUCAACCUGGGAACUGCAUCUGAUACUGGCAAGCUUGAGUCUCGUAGAGGGGGGUAGAAUUCCAUGUGUAGCGGUGAAAUGCGUAGAGAUGUGGAGGAAUACCGGUGGCGAAGGCGGCCCCCUGGACAAAGACUGACGCUCAGGUGCGAAAGCGUGGGGAGCAAACAGG
rnacentral:rRNA from 1 species